rnacentral:lncRNA from 1 species
AGCAUACAUCCAUGUAGAAAAGGUGCAGUUAAACAUGGCCCUUUAAAGAAAUGCUGUCUUCAAAGAAAAAGUAGCAUUUGGCGAUUUCAAAUCUUGUGAGAAAGAAUGUGCAUUCCAAAGAAAGACGGGGUUCGUGUUUUGAGCUAACUGCUGGUUUGUUACUUUAGAGGGAAUACUUCCUGAAAUUAUAUAAAAUCUGGCAUUAAAACUUAAGAAUGACUCUGAUUUUUUUAAAAAAAUAUCAGCCUACUGAUAAUCUUCCAAAAAUAAUCUCCCAAGUAAAUAACUGAUCUCAGGUAACCAUUCAUGAGCCUGAGGCUGUGAGAAAUGCUCGCUGUGCAAAGGGGAACUCUCACCAGAUUUUCUGAAACUGUUCUAGAAAUACACUUUUCGGAUUGAUUCAGCAUUACCAGCUUAUCCAACAAAAGUAUUAACAUAUACAUUAACAACGUCGAAAGUAGCCUACUUUAAGAGAAAAUAUGCAGAAGAAGAAGAUUUACAUCAAGAUUACCAUGGGUAUUUUCCAAAACACCUGAUAUUACCUGAGGACAG